AUGAAAUCGUGCCGCUCAACCUUUCUCAUCUAUUCUUCACGAACUCAUCAUCGUCGUGUACAUAUUCAGGCCACCACAAGUCACCAUGAGAGACCUCGCCUCAGCCUCAUCUCACCGUCUGUUCUCCUCUCUUCUCAACGCAGCGGCGGAUUCAACUCAACCUUCAUCUCUUCGUCCUCUCAUUGGCUCCAACUCUUUAUAUCUCACACUUCGAUUUACUUCUUCUGCGCGAACAACUCAAAACCGAAACGAAGCCAGGACCUAGCUCUAAUUACAUAUGCGGAGGAAAGUCGAAUAUGA